rnacentral:rRNA from 1 species
GACGAACGCUGGCGGCGUGCCUAAUACAUGCAAGUAGAACGCUGAAGGAGGAGCUUGCUUCUCUGGAUGAGUUGCGAACGGGUGAGUAACGCGUAGGUAACCUGCCUGGUAGCGGGGGAUAACUAUUGGAAACGAUAGCUAAUACCGCAUAAGAGUAGAUGUUGCAUGACAUUUGCUUAAAAGGUGCAAUUGCAUCACUACCAGAUGGACCUGCGUUGUAUUAGCUAGUUGGUGAGGUAACGGCUCACCAAGGCAACGAUACAUAGCCGACCUGAGAGGGUGAGCGGCCACACUGGGACUGAGACACGGCCCAGACGCCUACAGGAGGCAGCAGUAGGGAAUCUUCGGGAAUGGACGGAAGUCUGACCGAGCAACGCCGCGUGAGUGAAGAAGGUUUUCGGAUCGUAAAGCUCUGUUGUAAGAGAAGAACGAGUGUGAGAGUGGAAAGUUCACACUGUGACGGUAUCUGACCAGAAAGGGACGGCUAACUACGUG